UGAGAAGAAGAGUACUGGUUCCAUGUUAUAAAAAUUAUUAGCUAACCUAUACAAUUUUUUGUUUAAAUAGGCCCUAGUUUUGAAUUUUUUGGUAUAUAAGACGAGCAAAAUAUGGUUAUUUGAACAAAUUAUCUGGUUUUAAUAUCCUUCAUGGUUAUUUCACCCAAACUUUAUAAUUGUUUUUUAUAUCCACUUACUAAAAUACCCUUAUCCUCUUUUAUCACCCGACGAAGACAACCUCUUCGUCUUCUUCCUUUUUAUUUUCUUCUUUUGAUUGAAACAACCUCCUCUUCUUAUUCAGUUUGGUAAGGAUGAGUUAACAUAGGCAAGAAGCACAGAUCUGUUGAUUGAUGAACCGGGAUUUCAGCAACACAAAGAAUGAUAAGUCUCGAAUUCGUCGCAAUUUGGUGGAGUUUCAAGAUCAGAAAUGGAAGCUAGGGUUGCUGAUGAAUAAAUUAAUGAACCUGGUGAUGAUAAGAAUCUAAAAAAGGAUGUGUAAGCUUGGGUUUUAGUUUAAUUCGAGAUGGUGUUGGAGGAAGUUGAAUCUGGAGGACGAAAAAUAGUAGCGGUAGUGGUGAUAAGAGAUUUGUGUUCAAUACUUCAAUGACUAUCAACUGGCGGAGCUAUUGGAUGGGUUCAUUCUGUUUCUAGUAAAUGGGUUCAUUUUGUUUCUGCAUUAUAUAAUUUUUGCUAAAAAAAUUGAUAGCUUGACUUACGUUUGCAGGCAUAUUGUCCUGGUUCACUACAGAGAUGUCAACCAGGUUCCCUUCCAGGUUCCAUUUCCCGAAUCAUAAACGAAGGAAGAACCUUGUGAUUCUCAUUGUUGGAAUCAACUACUUCCACUGCAGUAUUACGAUUUGGAAGCAUAAUUGUCAUUUGUGUGUGUCUUAUGAUGUUUUAAUAUUAUGAAGUUGAUAAAGCAUUCUUGUUGCCAGACCAAUAGUUGAUAAAGUAUUCUUUAUUUCAACGCAAGAUGCACCGGUGUGCAUAAUGUAUAUUCUGACAAAAAGAAUAGGUUUGGGCCCAGAUGCAUCCGAGCGCAUAAUAUAUAUUUUUUCGAAA